CCUGACUGCUAUCGGAUUGAUACUAAGCCAUGCGAGUCAUUGUAGUAAUACAAGGCAGACGGCUCAGUAACGCGUAGUCAACCUAACCUAUGGACGGGAAUAACCUCGGGAAACUGAGUAUAAUGCCCGAUAGAACAUUAUGCCUGGAAUGGUUUAUGUUCCAAAUGAUUUAUCGCCGUAGGAUGGGACUGCGGCCUAUCAGUUUGUUGGUGAGGUAAUGGCCCACCAAGACUAUUACAGGUACGGGCUCUGAGAGGAGUGGCCCGGAGAUGGGUACUGAGACACGGACCCAGGCCCUAUGGGGCGCAGCAGGCGAGAAAACUUUGCAAUGUGCGAAAGCACGACAAGGUUAAUCCGAGUGGUUUCUGCUAAAGGAACCUUUUGUCGGUCCUAGAAACACCGAUGAAUAAGGGGUGGGCAAGUUCUGGUGUCAGCCGCCGCGGUAAAACCAGCACCUCAAGUGGUCAGGAUGAUUAUUGGGCCUAAAGCAUCCGUAGCCGGCUUUGUUAGUUUUCGGUUAAAUCUGUACGCUUAACGUACAGGCUGCCGGGAAUACUGCAGAGCUAGGGAGUGGGAGGGGUAGACGGUACUCGGUAGGAAGGGGUAAAAUCCUUUGAUCUAUUGAUGACCACCUGUGGCGAAGGCGGUCUACCAGAACACGUCCGACGGUGAGGGAUGAAAGCUGGGGGAGCAAACCGGAUUAGAUACCCGGGUAGUCCCAGCUGUAAACUAUGCAAACUCAGUGAUGCAUUGGCUUGUGGCCAAUGCAGUGCUGCAGGGAAGCCGUUAAGUUUGCCGCCUGGGAAGUACGUACGCAAGUAUGAAACUUAAAGGAAUUGGCGGGGGAGCACCACAAGGGGUGAAGCCUGCGGUUC
rnacentral:rRNA from 1 species